UACGUAGGGGGGCGAGCGUUGUCCGGAAUUAUUGGGCGUAAAGCGCGCGCAGGCGGUUUCUUAAGUCUGAUGUGAAAGCCCGUGGCUCAACCACGGAGGGUCAUUGGAAACUGGGAGCUUGAGUGCAGAAGAGGAGAGUGGAAUUCCACGUGUAGCGGUGAAAUGCGUAGAUAUGUGGAGGAACACCAGUGGCGAAAGCGGCUCUCUGGUCUGUAACUGACGCUGAGGCGCGAAAGCGUGGGGAGCAAACAGG
rnacentral:rRNA from 1 species